AGACAGCAGUCGCCGCGGGAAUACGAAGGGUGCAAGCGUUAAUCGGAAUUACUGGGCGUAAAGCGUGCGUAGGCGGUGAGUUAAGUCUGCUGUGAAAUCCCCGGGCUCAACCUGGGAAUGGCAGUGGAUACUGGCUCGCUAGAGUGUGUCAGAGGAUGGUGGAAUUCCCGGUGUAGCGGUGAAAUGCGUAGAGAUCGGGAGGAACAUCAGUGGCGAAGGCGGCCAUCUGGGACAACACUGACGCUGAGGCACGAAAGCGUGGGGAGCAAACAGGAUUAGAUACCCCUGUAGUCCCUGUCUCUUAUAC
rnacentral:rRNA from 1 species